GCCAGGAUAAGCCUCUGGCUGGGCCUCGACUGUGACCCUCCGGCCUCUUUCUACAGCGCUGCCUGGAUGGACUGGCCUAUCUCUGCUGGAUUCCCGAAGUGCAUUGUGUAGAGAUAGCAACUCAGGUCAGGCUAAAAGCUGAAGCAAGCGCGUGAGCGCGCACACACACACACACAGCCUCCUUGGGACAAGAUAAAAUCUUAGCGCAUUCCCCUCUCCCCGAUUAGGUCUCUGGGAGGCCGAAGUGUUCAGGUGCAAGGUUCAGAUAACCCGCAGUGUCUCUCUAACUCUAGGAUGACAAAGACCUCAUUUCCCUUUUCUGGUGUUCACGGAACAAUGAGAAAGUACGGGUAGCCUGCAGAAAGACCUCUCCAUUCGUGGCCCCCCAGGGGUGUGGGUUCUGAGAGGUGGGACCAGCUGCCAGGCCCUUUCUCCAUUGGUUGAGCUCAGCAGAGAGAAAUCAACUAUUCAGGACCGGCCCCCACCUUUCCUCAGGAGCCAUUUCUGUUCUGCACAGGCCUGCUGAACUGGGUGCUUUAUAUGGGACAUUGUCAUCUCUCAAGUACCUAUCUUGGAGGGUACGGACCCCACAUGAGGAAAGGACCAACCACACCGAGCUCAGUUAUGGCACACACAGUGGGACCUAGACAAAGGGAGAGGGUGACCAGCAUCCCAACUAGCAGGUGCAAGGACGUGUUGAUGAACUAG
rnacentral:lncRNA from 1 species